rnacentral:rRNA from 1 species
CCUAGGGGGUGCAGCAGUGGGGAAUAUUGGACAAUGGGCGAAAGCCUGAUCCAGCCAUGCCGCGUGUGUGAAGAAGGCCUUCGGGUUGUAAAGCACUUUCAGUGGGGAAGAAAGCCUUGGGGCUAAUACCCUCGAGGAAGGACAUCACCCACAGAAGAAGCACCGGCUAACUCCGUGCCAGCAGCCGCGGUAAUACGGAGGGUGCGAGCGUUAAUCGGAAUUACUGGGCGUAAAGCGCGCGUAGGCGGUCUGAUAAGCCGGUUGUGAAAGCCCCGGGCUCAACCUGGGAACGGCAUCCGGAACUGUCAGGCUAGAGUGCAGGAGAGGAAGGUAGAAUUCCCGGUGUAGCGGUGAAAUGCGUAGAGAUCGGGAGGAAUACCAGUGGCGAAGGCGGCCUUCUGGACUGACACUGACGCUGAGGUGCGAAAGCGUGGGUAGCAAACAGGAUUAGAUACCCGAGUAGUC